rnacentral:tRNA from 1 species
GCCGACAUAACUCAGUUGGUAGAGCGGCGGAUUUGUAAACCGCAAGUCGCAGGUUCGAGUCCUGUUGUCGGCUCCA